rnacentral:misc_RNA from 1 species
GUAGGUGAACCUGCGGAAGGAUCAUUAUCGAGUUUUUUUGGUUAGCUCCGAAAACUCCCCACCCUUGUGUAUUUUCGCUGAAAAGCAGCUUCGGCGGGCCGUCAGACCUUAGCAAUAGGGUCCUGACAUCGGCUUUGUGCGGAUUUGCGUCCGCCGAAGAAACAACUCUUACAAUUUGAAGUCUGAUAAAAUAACAAAAAUAAAUCAAAACUUUCAACAACGUAUCUCUUGGUUCUGGCAUCGAUGAAGA